AUUAUAAUAGCAUUAAAAAUUUUUAUUAUUUGAAUUAAUAAGACAAUAUAUUA
rnacentral:tRNA from 1 species